GACGAACGCUGGCGGCGUGCCUAAUACAUGCAAGUUGAGCGCUGAAGGUUGGUACUUGUACCUACUGGAUGAGCAGCGAACGGGUGAGUAACGCGUGGGGAAUCUGCCUUUGAGCGGGGGACAACAUCUGGAAACGAAUGCUAAUACCGCAUAAAAACUUUAAACACAAGGUUUAAGUUUGAAAGAUGCAAUUGCAUCACCCAAAGAUGAUCCCGCGUUGUAUUAGCUAGUUGGUGAGGUAAAGGCUCACCAAGGCGAUGAUACAUAGCCGACCUGAGAGGGUGAUCGGCCACAUUGGGACUGGGACACGGCCCAAACUCCUUCGGGAGGCAGCAGUAGGGAAUCUUCGGCAAUGGGCGAAAGUCUGACCGAGCAACGCCGCGUGGGUGAAGAAGGUUUUCGGAUCGUAAAACUCUGUUGAUAGAGAAGAACGUUAGUGGGAGUGAAAAGCUCAUCAAGUGACGGUAACUACCCAGAAAGGGACGGCUAACUACGUG
rnacentral:rRNA from 1 species